AGGAUUUCACAGGGUUUCAAUAGAAUGACGUGGCAUAUCGUGUAGAAUAAAAAAAAAAAAUAAAACACCGAUUCUUACCCAAAAUAGACGAAUUCAUUCCUAAUUCAAAUCUCCCUUUUGCACAAGCCCUAGAAAUCUCGCGAAGAAAAUGUCGAUCGAGCUCCGUCCGACUCCUCCGUCCACAACGCCGCUGUGAUAUACAUACCCAUCUCCGUCCACACUGCCUCAUUCCACAUGCCCUCCUCUGCGAUUGUAACUCCUCGAAAUCUAAACCGGUCGAAGCCAUUGCCUAGGUCAAAACCAUCACAGGCGAAAUCCGACCAUCAUCUCCAUUCACAGACGCUACACUCAUCUCCAGCUUAGUACGUCUCCGUCGUCCAAAAUCGUCGUCCUCAGAACGACCUUCGAGCAACGACACACAGAAGGAUGGGAGGACGGAAUAUUGCACGGUUGUAUAAGCACGAAGCACUCCUUUACUGAUUGUCCAGUAAAACGAUGAUGUCCACGGUGCGCAUUGGGAUUGCAGAUGUGUUUUGAGGUUGAAAGGGAGACUAGUAAUAAAGGGCAAUUAUUCAGAACCUGUAGUAGUAAGUGUGGAUAUUUUGAUUGGGUCGUCAACGAAGAAGCAAGCGGAGAAUCGAGCACUAUUACUGAGGCAUUUCAUCCUGGGGCCAUCGAAGAAGUCGAUGGCUUGCCAAGCAUGUUCGACAGUCUGGCUCGAAUAGCUGAAAAAUGAGACAUUGAGAUCUCAUUGAACGUGACAUUUCGCAAGGGAAAGCGAAGUGAGGACGUGAGUGGCAAAGGAGAAGCCCACGAUUGAUGUUUAUCAUGUAGCCGAUUUUCGAAGUUUCUGAUACAAUGGUUUGUUUCUUGUUGGAUAAAUGUUGUCCAAUAUGAUCCUUUAAUGACAUGGUGAAAAUAUGUUUUGUAGAGAUAACUCAUACUUUGGCUAUAUGGUGUUGGCAUUAUAAUGUUUUGUAGUUCAAUUGUUGGUAGUCUAUGGAAUCUGUGGUGUAGCAGUAGGGUUUUCUUCUUUGUGGAAAUUAUGACUUGUAGGUUGUCUUGGUUGGUGAAUGCAAUCCUUGUUUAUUAAUGUUAUGGUUUAUGGAUUUGCUCAGAA